rnacentral:rRNA from 2 species
AGAGUUUGAUCCUGGCUCAGGAUGAACGCUGGCGGUCUGCUUAACACAUGCAAGUCGAACGGGAAUCUUCGGAUUCUAGUGGCGGACGGGUGAGUAACGCGUGAGAAUCUGCCUUCAGGACGGGGAUAACAGUUGGAAACGACUGCUAAGACCGGAUGUGCCGAGAGGUGAAAUAUUUAUAGCCUGAAGAUGAGCUCGCGUCCGAUUAGCUAGUUGGUAAGGUAAAAGCUUACCAAGGCGACGAUCGGUAGCUGGUCUGAGAGGACGAUCAGCCACACUGGGACUGAGACACGGCCCAGACUCCUACGGGAGGCAGCAGUGGGGAAUUUUCCGCAAUGGGCGAAAGCCUGACGGAGCAAGACCGCGUGGGGGAGGAAGGUUCUUGGAUUGUAAACCCCUUUUCUCAGGGAAGAACACAAUGACGGUACCUGAGGAAUCAGCAUCGGCUAACUCCGUGCCAGCAGCCGCGGUAAUACGGAGGAUGCAAGCGUUAUCCGGAAUAAUUGGGCGUAAAGCGUCCGUAGGUGGCUGUUCAAGUCUGCCGUUAAAGACCGGGGCUUAACCCUGGAAAGGCGGUGGAAACUGAACGGCUAGAGUGCAGUAGGGGUAGAGGGAAUUCCCAGUGUAGCGGUGAAAUGCGUAGAGAUUGGGAAGAACACCGGUGGCGAAAGCGCUCUGCUGGACUGCAACUGACACUGAGGGACGAAAGCUAGGGGAGCGAAUGGGAUUAGAUACCCCAGUAGUCCUAGCCGUAAACGAUGGAUACUAGGUGUGGCCUGUAUCGACCCGGGCCGCGCCGUAGCUAACGCGUUAAGUAUCCCGCCUGGGGAGUACGCACGCAAGUGUGAAACUCAAAGGAAUUGACGGGGGCCCGCACAAGCGGUGGAGUAUGUGGUUUAAUUCGAUGCAACGCGAAGAACCUUACCAGGACUUGACAUGUCCGGAACCCUCUUGAAAGAGAGGGGUGCCUUCGGGAACCGGAACACAGGUGGUGCAUGGCUGUCGUCAGCUCGUGUCGUGAGAUGUUGGGUUAAGUCCCGCAACGAGCGCAACCCUCGUCCUUAGUUGCCAGCAUUAAGUUGGGCACUUUAGGGAGACUGCCGGUGACAAACCGGAGGAAGGUGGGGAUGACGUCAAGUCAGCAUGCCCCUUACGUCCUGGGCUACACACGUACUACAAUGCUACGGACAAAGGGCAGCAAGUUAGCAAUGACAAGCAAAUCCCAUAAACCGUGGCUCAGUUCAGAUCGCAGGCUGCAACUCGCCUGCGUGAAGGCGGAAUCGCUAGUAAUCGCCGGUCAGCAUACGGCGGUGAAUCCGUUCCCGGGCCUUGUACACACCGCCCGUCACACCAUGGGAGUUGGCCACGCCCGAAGUCGUUACCCUAACCGCUUGCGGAGGGGGACGCCGAAGGCAGGGCUGAUGACUGGGGUGAAGUCGU